GUGGGGAAUAUUGGACAAUGGGCGAAAGCCUGAUCCAGCCAUGCCGCGUGUGUGAAGAAGGCCUUUUGGUUGUAAAGCACUUUAAGCGAGGAGGAGGCUACCGAGAUUAAUACUCUUGGAUAGUGGACGUUACUCGCAGAAUAAGCACCGGCUAACUCUGUGCCAGCAGCCGCGGUAAUACAGAGGGUGCGAGCGUUAAUCGGAUUUACUGGGCGUAAAGCGUGCGUAGGCGGCUUUUUAAGUCGGAUGUGAAAUCCCUGAGCUUAACUUAGGAAUUGCAUUCGAUACUGGAAAGCUAGAGUAUGGGAGAGGAUGGUAGAAUUCCAGGUGUAGCGGUGAAAUGCGUAGAGAUCUGGAGGAAUACCGAUGGCGAAGGCAGCCAUCUGGCCUAAUACUGACGCUGAGGUACGAAAGCAUGGGGAGCAAACAGGAUUAGAUACCCGAGUAGUCC
rnacentral:rRNA from 1 species